AAUCCGCCGGAAGGAGGGCGCAGCAUUGCCGGUCUUCUCAUUGCCUGGCUGCUAGAGGAAACCCGAAGUCGGGAUUCUUUCUUUCCUGCUCUGAGAGGGACCAGGUCCCUCCUCCGUAGCUUUUGUCUCUCUAUUGCCUGCGCCGUGUCCUGGACUGCUCACGGGAGUUCUGCAGGAGACGCCGGAAUAUCUGGAAGCUGAAAAAUGGAAAUAAAUGGAAAGACCAGAAUAUUGAAGAUCACUACAGAAAUCUAAGGGUCAGGCAUGGUGGCUCACACCUGUAAUCCCAGCACUUUGGGAAGCAGAGGCAGUUGGAUCACUUGAACCUGGGAGGCGUUCUGGAGGUCAGGAGUUCGAGACCAGCUUGGCCAACAUGGUGAAACCCUGUGUCUGCUAAAAAUACAAAAAUUAGCCGGGCCUCAUGGCACAUGCCUGUAAUCCCAGCUACUCUGGAGGCUGAAGCAGGAGAAUCGCUUGAACCUGGGAGGCGGAGGUUGCAGUGAGCCGAGAUCACGCCACUGCUUCUUGCUUUAAAAGAAGAGUAAAGACAAGAGUGUUGGACCAGUAUUGCAGUUCUGUAGUAUCAUUUCUUAUAAAAAACAAAACAACAAUAAUUUAUCAAAAUUGGCAUAUAAAGACUGACAACAUUCUAAUAAAGGCACAAAUUUCUUUUUAA
rnacentral:lncRNA from 1 species